AUUUUUAUAGUAAAAAUUAAUUACGUAACAUUUUCAUUGUUAAAUUGUUUGAAACUAAAAAUA
rnacentral:tRNA from 1 species